UGCUCUCGAACCCCCUUCUUACCUGUUGUUCAGUGUGUGCUUUUCUGUAUUGUUAUUGGUUGGCUAUGUCUCGGCCUCCAAACGCAGUAUAGAGCUGACGAGAAACUCAACCCAAAACUAGAUCUAAAAACAACAAAUUCCUCUAAAAACUCGAGCAUAUAAAAACAUUACUGUCUCGCACCUCAAGAGCAGGCAAUCACACCAAGGGUUUUCUCAUUUAUUCCUUUCGGGCCCAAGUUGAAGAGGGUUAGGUACACAUUCGUAGCAUCAAAUCAGGAUUAGGAUCACAGUGACAUCCUCACGCUGAUCACGUACCAGUUCUGUCUUUGCUUGAAUUUUCCGCUAGGAGGGUGUCACGGUCGCGGCGUUGAACUAGUACGCACACAAGAUCUCGCAGAACAAGGUUUCGGAGGACUCGAGCGGUGAUGCUGAAUUUGACAGCAGUGUCGAGUGCAAUGGGGACUCUUGUGGGUCACAUCGCGCCAUCUGUGGUACAUUGCUUGGUAAGGUUGUAACAUUUGCUGUCUGUGUUCACAAACGAUGUGAAAUCGCCGCAGGGACACUUUGCCAAGGCAGGGCAUACCGUGAACUGGCUGCCGAACUUGGGGAAGCAAAAUUGAACUCUAUUUUUUCAUAACUUCCCAGUCUGGCUAGGUUUUUAUGAGGAAUUCGUUGCAAUUCUGCAUCUGCUUCAAUUGUGAACUUGUAUAUUUAACGUAGACACGACCAUCCAUUGCAGCAACUUCUUAAGGUUUUCUGACAACAGUCAAGUCUUCGAUUAAGUUCCAAGCGAGAGACCUCCACAAGAGAUGACCUCAAUUGAUCGUGCACCCCGAUGUCCAUUUUUCUUGUAGUUUGUGAUGAAGUUAUGGUACUACAGAUUUGUGUAGCUUCUGCUCGACUCCGAGCUUUGUAUAUGUACAAGGAAAAGUAUGGUGUUUUCUCCACUUGUGGUGUGUCUCAAUAAUUCUAAGGAAGUAUUGUCAACCAACUGCUUAUAUACAAUACUAUUGUUACUUGUUCUAGCACAACCACUUAGGAUCCUUGUUUCUAAACUAUCUGCUAGUAUAGUUUAGAAGAAGCAUCUUGAUAAUAUACAUAGAUAGGAAUAAUAUUAAAAGACUCCUUAUGAAUAGAUUAUGGUGACAUAAGAAGUCUUUUGAUCUUAUGGAUUCAUGCAAAUUUACAGUGACAAGUUAGAGAGUAUUGUUGUGUAUGUGUCUAUUAUUCUAUCUUUAUGCAGUGAAGCCACGAAUCCCACGAACUUUAUAUCACCCGUAAACAAGUUGUUGAAGAUCGACAGGAUUAGAGUUGAGGAUGUAACUCUACUAAAGUCAACUUUCAAUUCGCUUCUGAACUUGUUGCCCCCGAAUUGAAGCACUCGCAAUUUUGUGAAAUUUCCUAUUUCUGGCGGUAUAUCUCCUGACAAAGAGUUACUAGCAAAGUUCAAGGUUAGACAUUGCCCGACAGUCGGUGGUAUUGAUCCGGUGAGGUUGUUGGUUGACAGGACCAGGUAUUGGAGAGUGGAGCAAUUGCCAAUCGACUCUGGAAUAGUGCCAUUGAGCUGUGUUUCGUAGAUGACAAUGGUCGUAAGCUUACGAAGGUUUCCGAUGUCACGAGG
rnacentral:lncRNA from 1 species